UCCGAGUUGACCCCGGCAGUCUCACAUGAGUCCCCACCAUAACGUGCUGGCAACAUGCGACGAGGGUUGCGCUCGUUGCGGGACUUAACCCAACAUCUCACGACACGAGCUGACGACAACCAUGCACCACCUGUUCACGAGUGUCCAAAGAGUUGACCAUUUCUGGCCCGUUCUCGUGUAUGUCAAGCCUUGGUAAGGUUCUUCGCGUUGCAUCGAAUUAAUCCGCAUGCUCCGCCGCUUGUGCGGGCCCCCGUCAAUUCCUUUGAGUUUUAGCCUUGCGGCCGUACUCCCCAGGCGGGGCGCUUAAUGCGUUAGCUACGACACGGAAACCGUGGAAAGGUCCCCACAUCUAGCGCCCAACGUUUACGGCGUGGACUAC
rnacentral:misc_RNA from 1 species